CAAAACUAGAUUGAGUGCAAUUUCUGAAUACUACAAAUAGCAUUAUUGAAGCAGUAGACAUUGUUGAACUACGAGCAUGAAAUUUUGAAUACAAGAUACUGAAAUUACAGCAAAAACGUGCAUCCAUUACAUGUUAUCUGAUCAGUACGCCAGAAAUCAUAUUACACCGAUAAUGCGAAUUCAAGUUAGGUAAGUUAUCUAGUAAUCGUCAUCGUCAUAACCACCAUCGUCGAGAUCAUCUUCAACCUUCUCCGCUGCCUUCUCGGCUAUGUUAUCUUCUAUGUGAUCAAUACCUUCAGAUAUGGCUAAUCCACCCAGUGCACCUGCAACCGCACCCAUAGCUAGUCCCGCACCCAGGCCCAUCCCACCGAACUUGCUCUUCUUCUUCUCCUCGUAACCAUACCCUGCUUUCUGUGACCCGUAACUACCCUGAGGCUGCGCCCCGUAGCUUCCCUGCUGCCCGUAACUACCCUGCGAUCCAUAACUUCCCUGCUGAGGGUAACCAGGCUGUUGCCCGUAACUACCCUGCUGCCCGUACGGUGCAGGAGGAGCACCGUAACCUGGUUGUUGACCAUAACCCGGAGCAGGAGCUCCACCAUAACCUGGUUGUUGACCAUAACCGGAAGCUGGACCCGGUGCAGGAGCCGCGUUGUACGGGUAACCCGCUGGUGGAGCAGCAUAAGGCGAAGCACCAGGGGCAGGAGCACCGUAAGGGGAAGGAGCAGGGGCAGGAGCACCGUAUGAUCCGCCGUAAGGUUGCGGUGGAGCAGGGUAAUCCCUCGAUCCAGCUGGUGGAGGUACACCGUAAGGAGGUGCGUAAUACGGAUCCGGCGCACGAUAGCGCGGAUCACGAACAGCAACCUCAAUUUUCACCUUUCCAUGUGGGCGACCAGAAGGACGCUUCAAAUCAAGCGACCUCUCCGUCAAAUUACCGAUUCCGACGCUAUCAACAACCUCACGGAGCGGAAGCUUAGCUGAACCAAUCAAAGGCUUUGUUCCCUCAGUUGCGUUAGCGUGUACCACAUCGAUGUACAAAGUAGACUCUUCGAUCGGAGCAUACAACGGGAUCACAAGCUUCUCAUUCCAAGAUGGUGAAGUAUCGCCAUUAUCAUCUACUUUGGUGGAGCAUUUCCCUUUCGGAUCAACCCAAACAACAGCAUAUGGCUUAAGACGACCGUAACGCCAAUUAACGUUCUUCAAAUCCCUAGCUGAUGAGAUCUUCACCUCCACCUCGAAUCGUGAUCCCAUAUUUUUUUCUUCCCUCCCCCCUCAGAAGUGUAACAAUGGCUGUUUUGUGAUGGAGUGAGUAUUAUUUAACUGGUUUUG
rnacentral:misc_RNA from 1 species